rnacentral:rRNA from 1 species
GAUGAACGCUAGCUACAGGCUUAACACAUGCAAGUCGAGGGACCGGCGCACGGGUGAGUAACACGUAUCCAACCUGCCCUUUACUGGAGGAUAGCCUUUCGAAAGAAAGAUUAAUACCCGAUAUAAUGGAUGGGGAUGAGAUCCAUUAGGUUGUUGGUAAGGUAACAGCUCACCAAGCCUUCGAUGGAUAGGGGAUCUGAGAGGAAGGUACCCUACAUUGGAACUGAGACACGGUCUAAAAUCCUACGGAGCGCAGCAGUGAAGAAUAUUGUGCAAUGGGCGCUAACCUGACCCUGCCAAGUAGCGGGAAAGAUGAAGGCUUUUGGAUCGUAAUCUUCUUUGAAAGAAGAAGCUGUAUUAUAUGAAUAAGGAUCGGCUAACUCCGUGCCAGCCGCCGCGGUAAUAC